AGUAUUUUUAAAGCAAUCUAAGUCUUCUGAACUUAUUCUAAUCAAAUAUCUUCAUCACAAAUGAUCUUUUCUUCAUACCUUAGAUGCCGAACUUUACGAGUGAGUCUUUUUCCUUCAAUUUAGAUCUUUUCUUCAAUUUUCUGCCAUCAACUCUUCAAGACUCCAUUCAAUAUUACGAAAUCCGCCAACCUAUAAAAAUCCUUAACAAUCUCCCCCUUUGGCGAUUUCGUGACAAAAUAUAUUACAAAGUUCGUACACAACUCAUAAAUAAUAAAAAGAAGAUCAUCGCAAUCACCAAAUGAUAAUCUCCUGCAUGAUCGAUCCAAUAAAAGAAAUUUACACUUUUACAUCCUUAAUACAAACUCUAUGACUUAGACAUG
rnacentral:lncRNA from 1 species